rnacentral:rRNA from 1 species
GAUGAACGCUAGCUACAGGCUUAACACAUGCAAGUCGCGGGGCAGCAUUUCCUUAGCUUGCUAAGGAAGAUGGCGACCGGCGCACGGGUGAGUAACGCGUAUCCAACCUUCCCAUGUCCACGGGAUAGCCCGUCGAAAGGCGGAUUAAUACCGUAUGAGGUCACAUGCGGGCAUCUAAGUGUGACGAAAGGUUUGGCGGACAUGGAUGGGGAUGCGUCCGAUUAGCUUGUUGGCGGGGUAACGGCCCACCAAGGCGACGAUCAGUAGGGGUUCUGAGAGGAAGGUCCCCCCACAUUGGAACUGAGACACGGUUCAAACUCCUACGGGAGGCAGCAGUGAGGAAUAUUGGUCAAUGGUCGCGAGACUGAACCAGCCAAGUAGCGUGCAGGACGACGGCCCUCUGGGUUGUAAACUGCUUUAGCCGGGGAAUAAAGUGGGCCACGUGUGGCCUAUUGCAUGUACCCGGAGAAUAAGCAUCGGCUAAUUCCGUGCCAGCAGCCGACGG